rnacentral:rRNA from 1 species
UGCCAGCAGCCGCGGUAAUACGAAGGGUGCUAGCGUUGUUCGGAAUUACUGGGCGUAAAGCGCACGUAGGCGGCAAUGUAAGUUAAAGCAGAAAUCCCAGAGCUUAACUCUGGAAAUUGUUUUAAAACUAUCUAACUUGAGUAAGGAAGAGAGGGUAAGUAGAAUUUUUAAAGAAGGGCUAAAAUCCGUAGAUCUUAAAAGGAAUACCAAAGGCGAAGGCAGCUACCUGGAACUUUACUGACGUUAUAGGACGAAAGCAUGGGGAGCAAACAGGAUUAGAUA